rnacentral:rRNA from 1 species
CGGACGGGUGAGUAACGCGUGAGAAUCUACUUUCAGGUUGGGGACAACCACUGGAAACGGUGGCUAAUACCCAAUGUGCCGAGAGGUGAAAGGCUUGCUGCUGAAGAAGAGCUUGCGUCUGAUUAGCUAGUUGGUGGGGUAAGAGCCUACCAAGGCGACGAUCAGUAGCUGGUCUGAGAGGAUGAUCAGCCACACUGGGACUGAGACACGGCCCAGACUCCUACGGGAGGCAGCAGUGGGGAAUUUUCCGCAAUGGGCGAAAGCCUGACGGAGCAAUACCGCGUGAGGGAGGAAGGCUCUUGGGUUGUAAACCUCUUUUCUCAGGGAAGAACAAAAUGACGGUACCUGAGGAAUAAGCAUCGGCUAACUCCGUGCCAGCAGCCGCGGUAAUACGGAGGAUGCAAGCGUUAUCCGGAAUGAUUGGGCGUAAAGGGUCCGCAGGUGGCAUUGUAAGUCUGCUGUUAAAGAGUUUGGCUCAACCAAAUAAAAGCAGUGGAAACUACAAAGCUAGAGUGUGGUCGGGGCAGAGGGAAUUCCUGGUGUAGCGGUGAAAUGCGUAGAUAUCAGGAAGAACAUCGGUGGCGAAGGCGCUCUGCUAGGCCAAGACUGACACUGAGGGACGAAAGCUAGGGGAGCGAAUGGGAUUAGAUACCCCAGUAGUC